rnacentral:rRNA from 1 species
CCCUUAGAUGUUCUGGGCCGCACGCGCGCUACACUGAUGCAUUCAACGAGCCUAUCCUUGACCGACAGGUCCGGGUAAUCUUUGAAUCUGCAUCGUGACGGGGAUAGAUUAUUGCAAUUAUUAAUCUUCAACGAGGAAUGCCUAGUAGGCGCAAGUCAUCAGCUUGCGUCGAUUACGUCCCUGCCCUUUGUACACACCGCCCGUCGCUCCUACCGAUUGGGUGUGCUGGUGAAAUGUUCGGAUCGGCCGUUCGUCGCGGUUUCCGCGGCUCGUGGCUGAGAAGUUCAUUAAACCCUCCCACCUAGAGGAAGGAGAAGUCGUAACA